UACAGAGGGGGCAAGCGUUGUUCGGAAUUACUGGGCGUAAAGGGCGCGUAGGUGGCCUUCUAAGUUGAACGUGAAAUCCCUGGGCUCAACCCAGGAACUGCGUCCAAGACUGGGAGGCUUGAAUCCGGGAGAGGGAUGCGGAAUUCCAGGUGUAGCGGUGAAAUGCGUAGAUAUCUGGAGGAACACCGGUGGCGAAGGCGGCAUCCUGGACCAUGACUGACGCUGAGGAGCGAAAGCCAGGGGAGCAAACGGG
rnacentral:rRNA from 1 species